GAGUUUGAUCAUGGCUCAGAACGAACGCUGGCGGCAUGCCUAACACAUGCAAGUCGAACGAGACCUUCGGGUCUAGUGGCGCACGGGUGCGUAACGCGUGGGAACCUGCCUUUAGGUUCGGGAUAACAGUUAGAAAUGACUGCUAAUACCGGAUGAUGUCUUCGGACCAAAGAUUUAUCGCCUUUAGAUGGGCCCGCGUUGGAUUAGCUAGUUGGUGGGGUAAAGGCCUACCAAGGCGACGAUCCAUAGCUGGUCUGAGAGGAUGAUCAGCCACACUGGGACUGAGACACGGCCCAGACUCCUACGGGAGGCAGCAGUGGGGAAUAUUGGACAAUGGGCGAAAGCCUGAUCCAGCAAUGCCGCGUGAGUGAUGAAGGCCUUAGGGUUGUAAAGCUCUUUUACCCGGGAUGAUAAUGACAGUACCGGGAGAAUAAGCUCCGGCUAACUCCGUGCCAGCAGCCGCCGCUGU
rnacentral:rRNA from 1 species